GCGACCCCGGAUCCGAAGGAGAUGACGGAGCUUCUGGUUUCUCUGGAGCGAUGGGAGAACCUGGACUUAUUGGAGACCUGGGAGAUCCAGGAGAGCUAGGUCUGAAGGGGGACGUCGGUAUGGAGGGACCGCGCGGAGGAGUCGGGGGUCCUGGUGAGACUGGCCCUCGUGGUGACGCCGGGCCUCCAGGACCAAAGGGAGGUAACGGUAUCAAGG